rnacentral:misc_RNA from 1 species
ACAAACUUGGUCAUUUAGAGGAAGUAAAAGUCGUAACAAGGUUUCCGUAGGUGAACCUGCGGAAGGAUCAUUACCGAGCGCGAGGCCACGCAGGGCGCCAGCCCCGCGUGGCCGACCCUCCACCCGUGCUGAUAUUUCAGGCUACUUUGGCGGGCCGGGCUCGACCUACCGGCUCCGGCCGGGAGCGCCCGCCAGAGACGCCCCAACUCGUGCUGUCAGUGAUGUCUGAGUUACAAUUAAUAAAGUAAAACUUUCAACAACGGAUCUCUUGGCUCUGGCAUCGAUGAAGAACGCAGC